rnacentral:rRNA from 1 species
GACGAACCGUGCGAACGUUGUUCGGAUUCACUGGGCUUAAAGGGCGCGUAGGCGGGGGGUCAAGUCCGAGGUGAAAUCUUUCGGCUCAACCGGAAAAGUGCCUUGGAUACGGACUCCCUCGAGGGGGGUAGGGGCAUGUGGAACUUCCGGUGGAGCGGUGAAAUGCGUAGAUAUCGGGAGGAACACCUGUGGCGAAAGCGGCUCACUGGACCACAACUGACGCUGAUGCGCGAAAGCUAGGGGAGCAAACAGG